rnacentral:rRNA from 1 species
UGCAGUCGGACGGCAGCGCGGGGGCAACCCUGGCGGCGAGUGGCGAACGGGUGAGUAAUACAUCGGAACGUGUCCUGGAGUGGGGGAUAGCCCGGCGAAAGCCGGAUUAAUACCGCAUACGCUCCAUGGAGGAAAGCGGGGGAUCUUCGGACCUCGCGCUCAAGGGGCGGCCGAUGGCGGAUUAGGUAGUUGGUGGGGUAAAGGCCUACCAAGCCGACGAUCCGUAGCUGGUCUGAGAGGACGACCAGCCACACUGGGACUGAGACACGGCCCAGACUCCUACGGGAGGCAGCAGUGGGGAAUUUUGGACAAUGGGGGCAACCCUGAUCCAGCAAUGCCGCGUGUGUGAAGAAGGCCUUCGGGUUGUAAAGCACUUUUGUCCGGAAAGAAAUCAUUCCUGUUAAUACCGGGGGUGGAUGACGGUACCGGAAGAAUAAGCACCGGCUAACUACGUGCCAGCAGCCGCGGUAAUACGUAGGGUGCGAGCGUUAAUCGGAAUUACUGGGCGUAAAGCGUGCGCAGGCGGUGAUGCAAGACCGAUGUGAAAGCCCCGGGCUCAACCUGGGAACUGCAUUGGUGACUGCAUCGCUGGAGUAUGGCAGAGGGGGGUGGAAUUCCACGUGUAGCAGUGAAAUGCGUAGAGAUGUGGAGGAACACCGAUGGCGAAGGCAGCCCCCUGGGCCAAUACUGACGCUCAUGCACGAAAGCGUGGGGAGCAAACAGGAUUAGAUACCCUGGUAGUCCACGCCCUAAACGAUGUCAACUGGUUGUCGGGCCUUCAUUGGCUUGGUAACGAAGCUAACGCGUGAAGUUGACCGCCUGGGGAGUACGGUCGCAAGAUUAAAACUCAAAGGAAUUGACGGGGACCCGCACAAGCGGUGGAUGAUGUGGAUUAAUUCGAUGCAACGCGAAAAACCUUACCUACCCUUGACAUGUACGGAAUUCUGCCGAGAGGUGG